rnacentral:rRNA from 1 species
UGAGGAAUAUUGGACAAUGGGGGCAACCCUGAUCCAGCCAUGCCGCGUGCAGGAAGACGGCCCUACGGGUUGUAAACUGCUUUUGUACGGGAAGAACUCCCCCCACGUGUGGGGGGCUGACGGUACCGUAAGAAUAAGCACCGGCUAACUCCGUGCCAGCAGCCGCGGUAAUACGGAGGGUGCAAGCGUUAUCCGGAAUCAUUGGGUUUAAAGGGUCCGCAGGCUGGGCGGUAAGUCAGUGGUGAAAUGCAGGGGCUCAACCCCGGCACUGCCAUUGAUACUGCCGUUCUUGAAUCGUCGUGAAGUGGCCGGAAUAUGUAGUGUAGCGGUGAAAUGCUUAGAUAUUACAUAGAACACCUAUUGCGAAGGCAGGUCACUAACGGCGCAUUGACGCUGAGGGACGAAAGCGUGGGUAGCGAACA